AUGGAUUCCAGUAGUCCGAAGCAAACUGAUGACUGCCAAGAGUCCCAAAGAGAUGUAUUUGAAUUUUCUGCUCCUUUGGAAAAUGUUAACAACGUAAUCAGGAAACACAAGAAAAAGUCUGCAGUGUGGCAUAGAGUUUCUAAAGUGAUUUCUAAGAUGGUCGAAGAAAAUGGACAUUUUCGAAACCGACUUAUACACUGCAGCCAACUUUCAAAUGAAGGUAGGGAUAUAAAUGAGAAUGUCGUAACUGAAGCUUCGUGCACGGAUACAGUAAGUAAAACUGUGCCAACAACAAAAGGGGGAUAUGAAAUAUGCAUGGUAUUGUAUUUUGUUUCCUGUAAUGGGGCCCUACAUUUUGACCACUAGUAGCCUCUGUUAAGCUUGACCUUUGUGGCACUGCUAUCAUCUGGUCCAGUAUGAUCAGUCAGAGAUUGAGGCCCCUUCCACACUGCCCCGAUAUCCCAGGAACUGAUCCCAGAUUAUCUUCCUACCCCAGAUUAUCUG
rnacentral:lncRNA from 1 species